rnacentral:rRNA from 1 species
ACUAGUAUGAACGGUCAAAUGAGGACUUAACUGUCUCUUACAUUCAACCAAUAAAACUGAUCUCUCAGUCAAAAAGCUGAGAUAUAGACAUAAGACGAGAAGACCCUGUGGAGCUUCAAACCAAACCCAACCCCAAUGAAGUUAGGUUUUUAGUUGGGGCGACUUCGGAGUACAAAAAAACCUCCGACACAAUUAUAUUAAGACCAACACGUCAACAUAUUUUUCUCCUGACCCGGUAUUUUACCAAAAUAUCCGAUCAAUGAACCAAGUUACCCCAGGGAUAACAGCGCCAUCCCCUUCUAGAGUCCUUAUCGACAAGGGGGUUUACGACCUCGAUGUUGGAUCAGGACACCCNNAUAGUGCAGCCGCUAUNAANG